CGCCGCAGCCCGGCCGUGCUCUGGCGGGGGGGGGGGGGCGGCGAGGCAGCCCCCCGCCCGCCGCCGCGGCCUAGGCGGGUCAGCGGCCGCCGCCCGGGGAAGGAGGAGGGCGGCCGCCCCCCUUCCCUUCCCCUCCCCUCCCGGCCCGGCACAAUGCGGCGGGCACGGCGCGGCCGAGCGGAGCAGGCCCCGGCCCCGUCGCUUCCUUCCCCCAGCCCUUCCCAGCCGGGGGAGCGGGUCACUUACAUGGCUGGAGCCCGGGGAGGAGUGCCAUAAACGCCAACUGGGCUGUAAGAACUGAUUGGAUUUCUUCAGAAAUGUACGAUCGCUGAUGAUCGCAUUUCUGCAAGCGGACUAGCUGGAAUUUAGAAAAUGGCACAUCUUGCCGCAGCUGUGCACUGGUAACAACAUAAAGGUCUGUCUAAUCAUAUCUGUCAUGAGGGUUCCCGAGCGUCAAAUGGAUCGCUGGGUUUUGGGUGUGCCAGAAGAGCCAACGAUGAGACACAGGAGGAAGGCCUUCACUCGUCUUCAUGGUGGAGGGAGAAAGAGCAAGACCUCCUUUCCUACCAGGGAACAGACCAGUUCCUCCUGGCAGAGCUGCAACACCAGCGUGGUAUUUUCUAAGGCUCUGCUUUGGGUUUAUUGAGGCAUAUUUCAGGACAGUUUUAAAAUUUUACCAUUCAGACAAUCUAGCGGAAUAAGCAGACCCCGUGGUACAGGCCCAGUUACCUAGUUUAGGGUCAGAUCCUCGUCUGCUGCAGUCAGUGGAAAGAUUUCUGUUGAUGUCAGGGCAGAAUGAAAUGCCUGUGAGCGUUUUCUAAGCUGCAAAGGUAACGGAAAGGAAAAAUCUGGGUUUGUGAUCGCAUUUCAACCUACCGUGCAUUACGUUCAGAAUAUUUAGUGUCGAUUAAAAUGUAGGUAGGUGUUAAAGAUAUAUUUAAAAUUAAAUUAAUCAUGGACACGUAUAGAACUGAACAAAAAAAAAAUGAAGAAAAUUAAUUUAUGAACUAAUUUUGAGUCUUUAGACUGCAGCUACACCUAGCAAUAAAAAGUGUGUGUAAGUACAGGAGGUCACUGGCCGUGAGACACUUGUGCCCAGGCAGGGGGAUCUCUGGUAAUAGAUCUGGUUGCAGGAGAGCUUUCUUGCCUUCCUGCCAAACCCUGUACUGAUUGAUAAGCUCCCAGGCUGCGUGGUGAGCAAGGUCAUUAGGACUUCCCCCUGCAAAUGAAGUAGCAGCUUAAAAAAUAAGGUCACAGAGUAAACAGUUUUCUGUCCUGAAGAGAAGAAAAUAAACCUCUGUUGUUUGCUAGAAAGGAAGUAAGAUUAAAAAAAACCAAAAUUUCAACAUGAACAGAUUGUUUAGAUUUCCCGACUGUUGAUUUACCACAAUGAAAGGCAGGCCCAAACUAGAAAGUUUGGAUCCCGAUCUGGAUCAGACAUUGCCCAAAUUUGAGGGGGAAGUGUGAUUCGGAGUCUGGAGUAAGGGCUUAUCUCUCAAACACAGCAAAGUACUGUGGAUAAAAAUACCCAGGUAAAGUAGGAAGUGCCUGGUCUGCAACAACAAGAGUGACUUUGUAUCAACAAUGAACAAAAGCAGCUUUUUUUUUUUUCUUUGAGAACAAUGAAAUCACUCAAGAAUUGUUACAAAUGCAAACAAUGUGGGGUUUAUCAUUCAGUUAUCAUCAAUGGGAUUAUAGUCCAUAAAUCCUAAUUUUCAGGGAAGUCCCUAGAUUUCCCUGAGCGCUUCCUCAAAUUUCACAUCUGUUGACUCUAGUUUAUUAAGUGCUUCAGGAUAAGGUGCAUCAACUGUUCUUUAGUAUUAUAUUACCUGAAAAUACUGAAUGUAGGGCUUAGUGGCAAAGAACAGUUGAUUGCUAGACUUUGUAUCAGUACCACACCAGAAGAGCAGGCACUCCUGUUCCCAUCCAUUUUUUACAUAUAUAUAGGUAACAUAUAAUUCAAUGUAACUUUUUAAAGUUAUUUUAAAACCUCAAAAUUAUGCAGCUUUGGAUAACAAUUUUUUUUUUUUUUUAUCCAGUCAGGCAUAAGAAGAAAGCCUAGCAUGGUAGGAUGAAGUGGAAUUAUUGAGCUAAGCACCAGUAGAACAAAUUCUGUUCCACGACUGCAAGUAAUGACAGCACCCUUCGGGGCCAACAGUGAAUUUGUUCCUCCCUUUUUAAAAGGUGGGCUGUACUCAAAGCUGCUCAAAGAAAGAGACUAUAUGACAUCCUGUUAGAAUUACAAAGCUAGUAUCUCAGUCUAGGCAUUAACAGCUUUUAAACAAAGAACUCGUGUUUGGUCUCAGACAAAAAUCUAGCUCAGUAAGAAUACAAAUUAAAAGUGCCUUGCACGGUACCAAAUAUAAUAAAUGUAGUUGUGCUUCUGAAAUUGAAGGAAUCCAAUGUUUGAAGGUGUGUUUCUCAAUAGCAAAACAAUAGCAGGCUAUCUGGAAAAAAUAAUAAAUACACUGAAACAUU